rnacentral:rRNA from 1 species
ACGCUCGACACCUACGGAGCAGCAGUGGGGAAUAUUGCACAAUGGGGGAAACCCUGAUGCAGCGACGCCGCGUGAGCGAAGAAGUAUUUCGGUAUGUAAAGCUCUAUCAGCAGGGAAGAAGAAAGACGGUACCUGACUAAGAAGCCCCGGCUAACUACGUGCCAACAGCCGCGGUAAUCUGAGCGGGCUGGCAAGGC